GUUCAUGUAGCUUAUACUAUAAAGCAAGGG
rnacentral:tRNA from 1 species